rnacentral:rRNA from 1 species
CCUANGGGGGGCAGCAGUAGGGAAUAUUGGGCAAUGGGCGAAAGCCUGACCCAGCAACGCCGCGUGCACGAUGAAGGCCUUCGGGUCGUAAAGUGCUUUUCUGAGGAAUGAGUAAGGACAGUACCUCAGGAAUAAGCCUCGGCUAACUACGUGCCAGCAGCCGCGGUAAAACGUAGGAGGCAAGCGUUAUCCGGAUUUACUGGGCGUAAAGCGUGUGUAGGCGGUUCGGCAAGUUGGAUGUGAAAGCUCCUGGCUUAACUAGGAGAGGUCGUUCAAUACUACCGAACUUGAGGGCAUCAGAGGAGAGUGGAAUUCCCGGUGUAGUGGUGAAAUGCGUAGAUAUCGGGAGGAACACCAGUGGCGAAAGCGGCUCUCUGGGAUGCAUCUGACGCUCAGACACGAAAGCUAGGGUAGCGAACGGGAUUAGAUACCCAUNUANUC